CGUUAAGAGUCGUCUGUUUCUGUGAGGAGAUGUCGAUGUGUUUGCCAGGCCCUGCCCUUUUUGCAAGAUGAGAUGUUUCCCCCGUCACCUCGAGGAGUCUGACUGGAGAGCGCGUCAUCGCCAGCAGCUGACGUGAGCCAAGUUAGGGAGGCAAGGUGGUCAGGCACAGCAGGUGGCCUCAGAGCCGAAGCAGUCCGCACAGGGCCGAGCCUGGAGCAAGUGCUCGCUGCAGGAGAGAAUCCUCUCACCUCGUAAAGUCCUGGGCACAGUGUGCGACGCAGGCAGAUGUCAAGGCUGUCGUGAUAGCCAGCCUGUCCUCUGCUCCCUCGUGAUGCACAGGACUGUACUUCUGCUUCAGUAGAAUCAGAUUCUGGUUGUGAUCCAAGUCACUU